rnacentral:rRNA from 1 species
UACGUAGGGGGCAAGCGUUGUCCGGAUUUACUGGGCGUAAAGCGCGCGUAGGCGGAACGUUAAGUCCGGUCUGAAAGCCCCCGGCUCAACCGGGGAGGGUGGCUGGAAACUGGCGUUCUUGAGGGCGAGAGAGGAGGGUGGAAUUCCUGGUGUAGCGGUGAAAUGCGUAGAGAUCGGGAGGAACACCAGUGGCGAAGGCGGCCCCCUGGGCCGCGCCUGACGCUGAGACGCGAAAGCGCGGGGAGCGAACGGG